rnacentral:rRNA from 1 species
GAGUUUGAUCUUGGCUCAGAUUGAACGCUGGCGGCAUGCCUUACACAUGCAAGUCGAACGGCAGCACGGGAGCUUGCUCCUGGUGGCGAGUGGCGAACGGGUGAGUAAUGCAUCGGAACGUAUCCUGGAGUGGGGAUAACGUAGCGAAAGUUACGCUAAUACCGCAUAUUCUGUGAGCAGGAAAGCGGGGGACCUUCGGGCCUCGCGCUCUUGGAGCGGCCGAUGUCGGAUUAGCUAGUUGGUGAGGUAAAGGCUCACCAAGGCGACGAUCCGUAGCAGGUCUGAGAGGAUGAUCUGCCACACUGGAACUGAGACACGGUCCAGACUCCUACGGGAGGCAGCAGUGGGAAUUUUGGACAAUGGGGGCAACCCUGAUCCAGCCAUGCCGCGUGAGUGAAGAAGGCCUCGGUUGUAA